rnacentral:rRNA from 1 species
UGAGCAAUCUGCCCUUCUCUUCGGAAUAAGCGUGGGAAACCGCGUCUAAUGCCGAAUAUGACCUCCUUUCGCAUGAUCGGAGGUGGAAAGCUCCGGCGGAGAAGGAUGAGCUCGCGGCCUAUCAGCUAGUUGGUGUGGGUAACGGCCCACCAAGGCGACGACGGGUAGCCGGCCUGAGAGGGUGACCGGCCACACUGGGACUGAGACACGGCCCAGACCUCCGUACGGGAGGNAG